CGGGGUGUAGCUCAGGUGGUAGAGCACAGGCUUCGGGAGCCUGGGGCCGCAGGUUCAAGUCCUGUCACCCCGA
rnacentral:tRNA from 6 species